GUCCACGCCGUAAACGAUGAACACUAGGUUUUGGGCCCGUCAACGGCUCGGAGCCGCAGCUAACGCGUUAAGUGUUCCGCCUGGGGAGUACGCUCGCAAGGGUGAAACUCAAAAGAAUUGACGGGGGCCCGCACAAGCGGUGGAGCAUGUGGUUUAAUUCGACGCAACGCGCAGAACCUUACCAGGGCUUGACAUGGGGAAGACCGGACGAGAGAUCGUCCUUCUCUAGCAAUAGAGCUUCCCACACAGGUGCUGCAUGGCUGUCGU
rnacentral:rRNA from 1 species